rnacentral:rRNA from 1 species
AUUGAACGCUGGCGGCAUGCCUUACACAUGCAAGUCGAACGGCAGCACGGGAGCAAUCCUGGUGGCGAGUGGCGAACGGGUGAGUAAUAUAUCGGAACGUGCCCAGUCGUGGGGGAUAACGUAGCGAAAGCUACGCUAAUACCGCACACGAUCUAUGGAUGAAAGCGGGGGAUCGCAAGACCUCGCGCGAUUGGAGCGGCCGAUAUCAGAUUAGGUAGUUGGUGCGGUAAAGGCUCACCAAGCCGACGAUCUGUAGCUGGUCUGAGAGGACGACCAGCCACGCUGGGACUGAGACACGGCCCAGACUCCUACGGGAGGCAGCAGUGGGGAAUUUUGGACAAUGGGCGCAAGCCUGAUCCAGCAAUGCCGCGUGCAGGAUGAAGGCCUUCGGGUUGUGAACUGCUUUUGUACGGAGCGAAAAGGCUUCCACUAAUACUGGGGGCUCAUGACGGUACCGUAAGAAUAAGCACCGGCUAACUACGUGCCAGCCGCCGCGGUAA